CACUUAUCACGAUAGGCGUCCUGGUUUCUGAUCUCUGUUUGGGCACUAAAUAGCAGCAUGAUCUCAAUCAUGUAAUUAUUCCAGAGUUGUGUUAUUUUGAAGAUUAGAAGCUUCCUAUUCAAGGGCUUGCCUUCAAAAAUUCAUAAGUGAAACAUGAAUCCCCUGAGUGUGGAGUGGACGGACCUAACAGACAUGGUCAUCUUCCCAAAUGCAUCUUCACCUGCCAAGUGGACAGACAUUAUGAUCUUUAAAAAACAUGCAAGAAAACAUGAUAAUUUGAAUUCUGAAUUCAUGGAAUUGGACUUAGAAAACAAUUGGGUUUUGGAGCUUGUAGCAGUAGAAUCA